AUACAGAGGGUGCAAGCGUUAAUCGGAAUUACUGGGCGUAAAGCGCGCGUAGGUGGAUAUUUAAGUCGGAUGUGAAAGCCCUGGGCUCAACCUGGGAACUGCAUUCGAUACUGGGUGUCUUGAGUAUGGUAGAGGGAAGUGGAAUUUCCGGAGUAGCGGUGAAAUGCGUAGAUAUCGGAAGGAACACCAGUGGCGAAGGCGGCUAGCUGGGCCGAGUCUGACACUCAUCCGCGAAAGCGUGGGGAGCAAACAGGAUUAGAAACCCGAGUAGUCC
rnacentral:rRNA from 1 species